UGCCCCUCUGUACCCCAUCCCUGGUGUCACCGCGCGCUGACCCCGCCGUGUCCCCUCCCAGACCAGCCUCCUGUCACCGUCACGGUGACAGCGGCCAUCGGCGAGGACGCCUGCCUGCCCUGCGGCACGCAGCCCUGGGGUGACCUGCGCGGGGUCACCCUCAGCUGCACCCACCAGGCCGGCGGCCACCACGCCGUCCCCGUCCUCAGCCACCGCCUGGGCUGGCAGCCGCCACCCCCCGAGCCGGGCUGGCACCCGCCCGUGCAGCCCGACAGCCGCUUCAGGGGCAGGGUGGCCUUCUGCGCCGCGGGGACAGGGGACAGCGGCGUGGCCCUGCUGCUGAGGAACCUCAGCGAUCCCGAUUUCGGGAAUUAUUCCUGCUACGCCGCCCGCGCCGCCGCCCCGGAGCUCCUCUGCUCCCUGGUGCUGCAGCCCGCGGUGGCAGAGGUCCCCAAGGCCGCGGAGCCGGACAUGCUCAUGGUGAUUUGUGUCCUCACGGCCGCCUUCACCGCGGUGGCCAUCGGGGUGCUGGUGUGUGCCCGCUGCCAGGGCCACUGCUGGGGGCGUGCANCGCGGGGCCCAGCCCAGGAGCCCGCAGCCGUGGCUGCAGAGGAAGAAGGAGAGGUGGCCUUGGGUGACCUCAAGAGUGCCAGCACCUGAGGCCAUCCCCAGCUGGACAGGUCCUCGUGUGACACCAGGGCAGGACACGGCCCUGACUGCCCCAAUGGGGGGGACAGGUCUGGGGUCAUGUUCUGGGUGGGGGUUCAGGACGGGUUUGGGG
rnacentral:lncRNA from 1 species